AUGAUUACAGAUGAUACAGGGUUACAAAAGAAGAAACGACCAAGAUUGUUACUUGAAUCUGACAAUAGUGAUCAAGAUGAGCAUGUCCAGAAGAAAAGAAAACAUAAAGGAUUAACAUUACCCAAAGCACCAGAAUAUGCCCCGUCCACUUCAACGCAUCAGCAGUUACAAGAUACUCCUCCAUCUUCUACUGGCCAGCAAGAGAUUUUAAAUUUUCUGGAGGAACUUGAAAGAAAAGUGCUCCUCAAGUUCACCCAAAUGCAGGAGGAAUUCCGGGGUGCAUUUUCCAGGCUGCUGGAGAAGAGCACAGGCCAACCAAGUACCUCUACUGACACAUCGGAAUUGUUAUUGGAGCCAUGCACCUCAGUAGAGGACUUGGAAGGCCUGUGCAGUAGACUUCAGGAUACUGCAUAUCGUAAGAAGAUGAUCCUAUUUCUGAGUCUCCAGGGGGGUGGCAGCUUGGGAGAUGCUGUCAGAAGGAUGCUUCGGAAGGUGGGAUCCAACUCUCUGUGGGCAGCAUUCAGCUACAGAGGAAGAAAGGGGAAGCAAUCUUUCCAGUGCCUCCCAAUUAAUGAUGUAAUCAUACGUGCCUGCAACAAGUCCUUCCCUGAAGCAAAAACCCAGGCAAUUGAAGACUUGAUUGCUGUCACCCUUAAACAUGCCCCACAUCGUGGAAAGACAAAAAAUCAGGUAAAUCUAUGAGCCUGCAAAUAAUAAUCCUAUACUAUUACACUGUGUUUUACCACUACUACUACUACUAAUAAUAAUAAUAAUAAUAAUAAUAAUCAUAAUAAUAAUAAUCAAAAUAAUAAUAAGAAGAAGAAUAAUAAGAAUAAUCAUAAUAAGAAUAAUCAUAAUAAUCAUAAUAAUCAUUAAUGUUAAUAAUUAAAAUUUUUAUCUGU
rnacentral:lncRNA from 1 species